rfam:Acinetobacter radioresistens SK82 contig00038, whole genome shotgun sequence.
CUUAAAAACGGAAAAAUCCGCACAUAUGUCGUCACAUUGCUCUGGGUGCCCUGCGGGGUGGAGAAUGCGGACAUAUGGAGGCCUAAC